AGUCUGACCCUGCUUCAGGAUGAAAGCUGGCGGCCUGCUUAGCUCCUGCACUUCAAACUACGAAUUUGACAUGAAACUUCCGUGGAUUUUGCAAUUCCAAGUGGGGGACCGGUGAGAAACUCGUGGCCACCCUCGCCCUGUCCCGGGGGACAACACCUGAAAACGGCUGCUAAUACCCCGUAGUGCCUCGGGAUCGAAUGAUCCCGCGUGAAAAACUCCGGUGGCACUGGAUGGGCCCCCGUCGGAUUACGUAGUUGGCGGGGUAACUGCCUACCUCGCCCACCAUCCAUAGACAACCUGAUAGGGUGACCGGCCACCUUGGGACUGAUACACCGCCCACACUCCUACCGCAGGCAGCAGUGUGGAAUAUAGCACAAUGGGGGAAACCCUGAUGCAACUACGCCUCUCGAGCGAAUAAGUAUUAUCACGAUGUAAAGCUCUAUCUGCACGGAAGGACAUGACAGUGCCUGACUAAGAAGCCCCGCGCUAACUACUGUGCCAUUCAUCCAUCGGCAACUACCACCGGGGCAAGCGUCAUCCAGAUUUACUGUCUGUAAAGAGAGCGUAAACCGCAACGCAACUCUGAUGAGAACGGCUGGGGCUCCACCCCAGCACUGUAUUGCACACUGUCCUGCUGAAGUGCCGGAUAGGUAAACGCAAUUCCUACUGUCUCGCUGAAAUACGUAUGUAUUAUGAUGAACACCAAUGCCGAAGGCUGCUUACUGGACGGUAACUGACGUUCACGCUCNNNNNCNUNGCCCUCUAAAGGGGUUNNNUNCCCUNNUNNUCCNCNCNNUNNNCNGCUUUAAAGGAGGUGUUGGGUGUCACAGACAUUCGGUGCCGCAGCAAACGCAAUAAGUAUUCCACCUGGGGAGGACGUUCGCAAGAAUGAAACUCAAAAGGAAUUGACGGGGACCCGCACAAGCGGUGGAGCAUGUGGUUUAAUUCGAAGCAACGCGAAGAACCUUACCAAGUCUUGACAUCCCCCUGAUAGAGUAUGUAAUGUACUUUUCCUUCGGGACAGGGGAGACAGGCGGUGCAUGGUUGUCGUCAGCUCGUGUCGUGAGAUGUUGGGUUAAGUCCCGCAACGAGCGCAACCCUUAUCCCCAGUAGCCAGCAAGAAAGAUGGGCACUCUGAGGAGACUGCCAGGGAUAACCUGGAGGAAGGUGGGGAUGACGUCAAAUCAUCAUGCCCCUUAUGACUUGGGCUACACACGUGCUACAAUGGCGUAAACAAAGGGAAGCGAGGGAGCGAUCCGGAGCAAAUCCCAAAAAUAACGUCCCAGUUCGGAUUGUAGUCUGCAACUCGACUACAUGAAGCUGGAAUCGCUAGUAAUCGCGAAUCAGAAUGUCGCGGUGAAUACGUUCCCGGGUCUUGCACACACCGCCCGUCA
rnacentral:rRNA from 1 species